UGCUUGCUCUUGUGAUGACUGGUUGUGUGCUAGCAUAGAUAAGACGAGAGCAGGUUUAAAAAGCAGAAGCAUUUCUGAACUUUUGUCAGAAAGUAAAACUUCAUAUCUCCUCGUACUACAACAGUUACGCUGACAAUAAAUAGCAUCUAUCUGAUUGAACAGUACAAGUAAAAUGAGCAUAAACAUUUUGACUGCCAUCAUCUUCACUGCAUCCUUUUUCCCCUGGGCCAUCAACAUGACUGAAUAUCCAACAUUCCCCUGUUACAACAAAAGCUCAGAAUACAAAUACAACAAAUUUGUCAAAAAUCACAUCCUCCAUGACAGCUUUGACAGAAAUUCUCUAGAUGCUUGGAAAAGGUAUUUGAAAAAGGAAGGCCUCUGGUGCCGAACUCCAGUGCAGUCCUUCAUCAGUGACAGUGAGUGGAAUGUCGACAGGAUCUGCAGCAGUGAUGGUCGUCGCUUGGCUGACUCAGUUACCUACGCAGGCAACUUGUGUAUCAGCAACUCAGAAAUGCUGAUUUAUGAGGUCACAAUUAAGAAAACCAACAAGGGUCGUAAAAUUAAUG